AUACGUAGGGGGCGAGCGUUGUCCGGAUUUAUUGGGCGUAAAGAGCUCGUAGGCGGCUCAGCAAGUCGGCCGUGAAAGCCUGAGGCUCAACCUCAGGACGCCGGUCGAAACUGCUGUGGCUAGGGUCCGGUAGAGGAGAGUGGAAUUCCCGGUGUAGCGGUGAAAUGCGCAGAUAUCGGGAGGAACACCAGUAGCGAAGGCGGCUCUCUGGGCCGGUACCGACGCUGAGGAGCGAAAGCCAGGGGAGCAAACAGGAUUAGAAACCCCGGUAGUCC
rnacentral:rRNA from 1 species